AAGAUUUUCCGUCUGCAACAUCACAAAACGCAUAUAAAACUUGACGAGCACUAUCACGAUCCUCUAAUUCUUCCAUCACGAUUUCUGUAAAACGCUCAUAAGUAACACCCUCUUCCGAGUUAGCAGCCCUGUGAAACAAAGCAGUUCCUUCUUCGGUAUCAUAAACCAAGCCCAAUGAGGCCAAUGCGGCAUAAAACUCGACCUCAUUUAACAUAUUUGAUUUUUUCUUUUCAAAAUGGCGAAAGACUUUAGUAAUUCCGUCUAGUUCUUGUUUGGAGAGUGUUCUCUUUUCCCUUUCUAAGAGUUCAUUCUCAAGGUACUUGAUCUUAUUGGCAAUGAUAUUGGCAGUAAUACCAAAUUCAUGCUCCAGGUCUUCGUAGGAAAACAUGGUGUAAUCAUUUUCUUCAAUUCCAGCUUGAAAACAGUUAUCAUACAACACCUUCACACUAGCCAGUUCAACUUCAAGAGGCCCCAGGUGUUCUUGCAAAAAUUCAACAUGGUCGAGUUGGUCACGCCAAUCACCCUGUAAAUUGGUAAUCUCAUUUGAUAUCGUAGAUAACAUUUUUGAGAAACUGUUGGCACGAUCAGCAAAAGCAAUUCUCAUACUUUCUUUUAUUUCUCUCAUGUGGGUAUUAAUCAAUUUCGAUUGAUUGGCUUCUUCUGAAAGAAAAUCUUUCCACUGUCUUUCCAAAUCGACGAUCUUUAAUCCCGCAGGCGGUUCGUACUUCCGAAGUUGAUAUGUUUUCAAAUUGGUUUGUAUAGUUCCCAAAAGAGAUUCCAAGUCUAUUUUUUCCUUUACCCACUCUCUUUUCUCAGUAGCUUUGAAUUUGGCAAAAUUAUUAGAAUGAGAUUUCACGUCGGUAUAGUUGUUCUCAAAUUGGACGGUAUGCCAGUACUCCUGCAUCCUUGCAAUGCUUCCCAACAGUCGUUUCAUUCGAGACUCGUAGUCAAUUUUCAUAUCAUGAGUGCUCAUCAAAACUUCAGUAAACCUCUCUACACGUCUAGCCGCAGUUUCCACUUUAUCCAAGGUAGAAAACGCAUGGAAGUAUUCGGCGACAUAAGUCAUUAUACUACGCUCAUCGGGUCGGUCAACGUCACAAACAUCUUCGACCUCUAUCAAACGAGGAAUUCCAAUAGAUUUUUGCGCAAUGUCAAAAGCCAAUUGCAUAUUAGCUCUAUGGUUCUUCUUGUCAAGCUUAUUGUAAUCCAGUAAAUCAGGACGGUGCUGAUGGAUUAAUGCACAGAAAGCCAAGCCGUUUGUCCAACUCCGAGUAAAAUCUUGCACAUCAACCUCUGGAUGGUAGUUUGCUGUUUUUCUCUGACACCAAAGCAAUAGACCUUCCUUUGCGGUAAGACCUUCUUCAUUGAUAUCAGCUAUAGUAAAACGUAAAAUGAGCGUCCAAAUAAGUCCCAGAAUUAGCUUCAGGUUCCCAUCCACAAUAUCUAUGAAAUAUUUAGUAUAAAUCAACAAAAGAAAGAGAGACAAGUUUAUCCAACAGAUUCGAAAAUAAAAUGGCACAUAAAUAACAACAUAUCUAUAUUUGACUAUAGGUCCUUUAAAUUUUCUAAUUUACUUUACUUACCAGCAGGACCAAUGUUGGUCAACGGCAUUCCUUUGCUUUUUAUAUAUUCUAAAGCUUUGUUGACAUUCUCCAACCUAUGAACACGCAUACGCGGGUUUCGAUUGUAUCUCCCUAAAUUUUCAUCUCCAAUAAUUUCCAAAAGUUGUAUUAACAAAAUUCCAUCUGAUAAAUCCUUUCUCAAGUCAAACACAGAUGGUAAGUCUCUCGAUGAAAGUUUUGUGUUGAACCUACGCGUUUGUUACUAUUAUAUAAACAUCUUUCAUUAGAUUUUUUAUUACCAUUUUGUAAAUGUUCUAUUUUGUACGCUUUGCCAUUGAUUUGCCUGCAUCAAAGAUGUUUAUGGCUACCUGGAUAGGUUAACUUUGGGAGGUGUAAAUAAUCGGAGUAAGAUAACGCUAAUAUUUAUAUUUUCGAAGAAUUUGCUUCGCACUCGAAUACUCUAGUAAUUUAUUAGUCUUCAAUCUCCAG